rnacentral:precursor_RNA from 10 species
GCUCCGUGACGUCCGCUGUGCGUGACCUUGGAAAUCAAGUGUAGGUGGAGCCUGUGGCAGCGAUCAAGGCGACCCACACUUGGUUUCAAGGGUCCGCAGGGCAGCCUGGGGCACGUCCU